UACAGAGGUCUCAAGCGUUGUUCGGAUUCAUUGGGCGUAAAGGGUGCGUAGGUGGCGCCGUAAGUCAGGUGUGAAAUCUCGGGGCUCAACUCCGAAACUGCAUUCGAUACUGCCGUGCUUGAGGACUGGAGAGGAGACUGGAAUUUACGGUGUAGCGGUGAAAUGCGUAGAUAUCGUAAGGAAGACCAGUGGCGAAGGCGGGUCUCGUGGACAGUUCCUGACGCUGAGGCACGAAGGCCAGGGGAGCAAACGGG
rnacentral:rRNA from 1 species